rnacentral:rRNA from 1 species
GACGAACGCUGGCGGCGUGCUUAACACAUGCAAGUCGAACGGAAAGGCCCUGCUUUUGUGGGGUGCUCGAGUGGCGAACGGGUGAGUAACACGUGAGUAACCUGCCCUUGACUUUGGGAUAACUUCAGGAAACUGGGGCUAAUACCGGAUAGGAGCUCCUGCUGCAUGGGGGGGGUUGGAAAGUUUCGGCGGUUGGGGAUGGACUCGCGGCUUAUCAGCUUGUUGGUGGGGUAGUGGCUUACCAAGGCUUUGACGGGUAGCCGGCCUGAGAGGGUGACCAGCCACAUUGGGCCUGAGAUACGGCCCAGACUCCUACGGGGGGCAGCAGUGGGGAGUAUUGCACAAUGGGCGGGAGCCUGAUGCAGCAACGCCGCGUGCGGGAAGACGGCCUUCGGGUUGUAAACCGCUUUCGCCUGUGACGAAGCGUGAGUGACGGUAAUGGGUAAAGAAGCACCGGCUAACUACGUG